GACGAACGCUGGCUGCGUGCUUAACACAUGCAAGUCGAGCGGAGCGGCGAACGGGUGCGUAACGCGUGAGUAACUGCCCCCCUCUCUGGGAUAACAGUUGGUAACGGCUUCUAAUACCGGAUAGUGGGGGAUGACUCGCGUCCUAUCAGCUUGUUGGUGGGGUAGUGGCCUACCAAGGCGACGACGGGUAGCCGGCCUGAGAGGGCGACCGGCCACAUUGGGCUGAGAUACGGGCCGAACUACUACGGGAGGCAGGAGUGGGGAAGAUUGCACAAUGGGGGAAACCAGGAUGCAGCAACGCCGCGUGCGGGGUGACGGCCUGCGGGUUGGAAACCGCUUUCAGCCAUGACGCGGUAGUGGCAGAAGAAGCACCGGCUAACUACGUGCCAGCAGCCGCGGUAAUAC
rnacentral:rRNA from 1 species